rnacentral:tRNA from 1 species
GGAAAGGUGGCCGAGUGGUUCAAGGCGAAGGUUUGCUAAACCUUGGCCCCGGAAGGGGCCUCGUGGGUUCGAAUCCCACCCUUUCCG